GAUAGGCCUCUGUCGCUACCGUGAUUGGACACUGACACAGAGUCAACUAGCCUUGUGCGCGCGGUUCUUCGCGCGCAGAACCGGGGCGGUCCGAGCCACGAGGGGGGAGGCUCGGACCGUCCGUC
rfam:Streptomyces sp. M41(2017) strain M41 M41_contig1, whole genome shotgun sequence.